GUCCACGCCCUAAACGAUGUCAAUUAGCUGUUGGGGUUAGAAUCCUUGGUAGCGUAGCUAACGCGUGAAAUUGACCGCCUGGGGAGUACGGCCGCAAGGUUAAAACUCAAAGGAAUUGACGGGGCCCGCACAAGCGGUGGAUGAUGUGGAUUAAUUCGAUGCAACGCGAAAAACCUUACCUGCUCUUGACAUGUACGGAACCCUGGAGAGAUUCAGGGGUGCCCCGAAAGGGAGCCGUAACACAGGUGCUGCAUGGCUGUCGU
rnacentral:rRNA from 1 species